AUCGCAUGGUGAGAAGAAGAAAAGGAACGGCCUCUACACAAAGCGGUCGCCGAAGGAGGGGUUUUGCGUCUGAUUAGCUAGUUGGAGGGGGUAACGGCCCAACAAGGCGACGAUCAGUAGCCCGGUCCUGAGAGGAUGAACGGCCACAUUGGGACUGAGACACGGCCCAGACUCCUACGGGAGGCAGCAGUGGGGAAUCUUCCGCAAUGGACGAAAGUCUGACGGAGCAACGCCGCGUGAGUGAAGACGGUCUUCGGAUUGUAAAGCUCUGUUAUACGGGACGAACGGCAAGGUGGUAAAUAGCCAUCAUGAGUGACGGUACCGUAAGAGAAAGCCACGGCUAACUACGUGCCAGCAGCCGCGGUAAU
rnacentral:rRNA from 1 species